rnacentral:rRNA from 1 species
AAAGGAACUCGGCAAACCCAAGUCCCGCCUGUUUAACAAAAACACCGCUCUUUGUCUUAAAACACAUAAGGAGUCGAGCCUGCCCAGUGACUAACCUAGUUAAACGGCCGCGGUACUCUGACCGUGCAAAGGUAGCAUAAUCAUUUGUUUUUUAAUUGAAGACUGGAAUGAAUGGUUUGACGAGGACUUGACUGUCUCUUACAGAAUAAUUAUAAAUUAAUCAUUAAAUGAAGAAGUUUAAAUGAUAUUAAAAGACGAGAAGACCCUGUUGAGCUUUUAUUUAACUGUAAGCCACGUACACCUUCUAAGGAAACACAAGCUUACACUAAAAAUUUUAGUUGGGGCGACUGAGGGAUAUAUAAAACUUCCUCCUCUACAUUAACACUUACCUUGUGAUCCGCCCAAAACUAUUGGCGACCACGGGAAAAAGCUACCACAGGGAUAACAGCGUUAUUUCUCUGAAGAGCUCUAAUCGAAAGAGAAGUUUGCGACCUCGAUGUUGGACUAAGGUAUCCUGGUGGUGUAACCGCUUCCAAGGGUUGGUCUGUUCGUCCAUUAAAACCUUACAUGAUCUGAGUUCAGACCGGCGUAAGCCAGGUCGGUUUCUAUCUUUAACACAUAAAACACCUCUAAUCAGUACGAAAGGAUCGUUACAGGUAAAUUAAAGCUUAUUGCCACACAGAUUACACAUAAAAUACAAAUAAAUAAAAUAACACUGCUUUUCCAUAGAUACUGUA